UCCCUGAUGUGUGUGUGUGUGUGUGUGUGUGUGUGUGUAUGUGUGUGUGUGUGUGUGUGUGUGUGUGUGUGAACAUGGAGUCGUGUGGUUCCUGAACAAUGGCUUUUCUUUUCUGGUGGAUGGAUAAUGGAGUCACUGUGAAGUCACACGGAACAGUGGCAGGAAGUUUGUUAUUUACCACUGCGUCCCGGAAUGUGUCCAUGUGUUUAGUCUUUUCUUUUUGGGGAGGGAGGGGGGGGGUGCUAAUGGCUGAAGUGUAAAUUAGCCAUUCCCUGCUUUGGCACAUCAUUAUUAUUAUGGGGGGGGGUCCAUUUUGUUUACAAUGUAAUGCUGGGUGGAAGAGCCGAUGUACAGCGAGCAGAGAGGAAGCCACCCCCUUCUUUUUUCUUCUGAAGUCGUCCUCACGUCGUUCAGUGGGUUGUCCUUAAACUGCCCUCGGAGCAGCUCGUUUCACCGGUUUACUCGACCUCAACCAAACAAAUCAGUGGAAAGAGCCUCGGUGAUGCUGGUUUAUAAAAAAAAAAAAAAAAAAAGCUGAAGCCUCAAACGGCACAAAAUGUGUUCCAA